rnacentral:rRNA from 1 species
UACGAAGGGGGCUAGCGUUGUUCGGAAUUACUGGGCGUAAAGCGCGCGCAGGCGGUCUUCCAAGUCAGUGGUGAAAGCCUGGAGCUCAACUCCAGAACUGCCAUUGAAACUGUUAGACUUGAGUACGAGAGAGGUGAGUGGAAUUCCCAGUGUAGCGGUGAAAUGCGUAGAUAUUGGGAGGAACACCAGUGGCGAAGGCGGCUCACUGGACCGGAACUGACGCUGAGGCGCGAAAGCGUGGGGAGCAAACAGG